rnacentral:lncRNA from 1 species
UUUUUAGGGAAUAAACCAUAUUAGCGUGUGUAAUGACUUUAGGCAGAGUUUUGCCUUCAAAGAAGGCAUGAACAACCCCAACUAUAUCCUGACCCACAAUGUUCCAACAAGAUUGAUAGAAACGACAAGGGAAUCCAUCUGGCCCACAGACACAAUCAGCAUUUAAUGUAAACACCACCUUUUUUAUCUCUUCUUCAGCAGGUAACCUAUUAAAAAAUAAUUAUCUCCAUUAGUGAUUUUAGCAGAAAUAUGUUGUACCAGUAAAUAAUCAGUGUUGCUUUGAUCUCCUAAAAAUUGAUUUUGAAAGAAUCUAACAACCUCCUCAAUUAGUUGUUCUUCCAAUUUUGCCCAGUUUCCGUCACUUCUCUAAAUCCUUUUCGGUGUUAGCCUCUUUCUUCUUCCGUUCAUAAGACAAUGAAAGAAUUUUGAAUUUUUGUCACCCUUUGUGAAUCAUUGAAUACUAGCUUUUUUCCUCAAAAAUGCUUCUUCACAGUGUAACUAUUUUUUAAUUUCUGCAUGAGCUUUUAGCAAAAUAAUCCUGUUAGUUGUUAUGGGGAACUCCUCAAAUAGAUCUUCUUUUAUUCUCAGUAUUUCCUCUCUAAUAAUAAGAUAUUUGAAGAUAUCUCCAAAUUUUAUUUACUUCCCUUAGAAUGAGCUUGUUUUGUCUUCUUCUACUUCUAUUUCAACUAAUAAAACACGUCACCUAUCUCUACUGCCACCCAGUUCAGUUUUAUCACAUCUAAAAAUAUCAUCUUUAUCAUUCAAGAACCUGAGAAAUCUGAAUAGUUUGACAAACUAUUGGCUUUAAGUACCAUAAGUGAUCAAUAAAGGAGCAUGGUCAGACCCAAUCCUAGCUAAAUGUUGUAAAUCAGUAUUACCAAACACAUCUUGAAAAUUAUAAUUUACCACUACUUUGUCUAAUCUCUUGAAAAUGCAAGCUUCAUCAGCUCUUCUAUUCCACCAAGUAAAAGGACUAACAGUGAAAGGAACAUCAAAUAAUUCACAAGAAUUAAUGCAAAAUCCUCAUAUUCUUGUGGGUACACAGGUAGUCCCCCAAUCUUCUUCUCUUCACUCAAUUACAUUAAAAUCUCCCCCAACUAGCCAAGGAGUUUGAAUAUCUUGUCCCAGAUUGUAAAUAUCAUUACAGAGCCUCAGUCUCUCCAUGGCAGCACAUUUAGCAUACACUAUAGUAGUGAGAAGCGUUUUCCAUCAUUAAAUAUGAGUUGUAGAGUUAAUUGGUGAUCUAAAUCUGAAAUUAGUUCCACCUGAAUAUGAUCUUGUAUGAAAACCCAAAUCUGUGUAUUUUGAUUAUAGUUAACAUACUGCAUACGCAGUAUUCUCUUAUAUCUUGGAAUUUGUCUGGUAUCAUGAAAUGGUUCUAUUAGUGCGAUAAGACAAAAUUUGUGAUGUCUAUAAAUGAAAGGCAUUUUGAGUUCUCACAGAUCAAAUAUUCCAAAUGAGAGCUUUAUAUUUCAUUUGGUAGAGAUUUUUCCCCGCUUCUUGUUACCAUCCUUGAUGACUUAUUUUUUGUGCCUCCUUUAUUUUGGCCUUUCUUCUCUUUCAUAUGUUGCUAUACAGAUAUUCCUACUUUAUUUCAUGUUUUCAUUAAGUCACUCUUAUUUUUAUCUUCUUUUUUAUCUUCAAUUGCAGGUUCAGCUUUAGGUAUUGCAUUGUUACAUGUAUUAUUCUGAAGUACUUUAUGAGACAUUAUCUCCUGCAACUCACGCAUCGAGGAUGAAUUGAAUGCCUUUGUUGUCAGAGAUAAUGAUAACUCAGAGCUUUCACCUCUAUCCAAUGGCUUUUUUUUCACCUAAGAUCAUUUAAAAUAGUUCAUGAUAUCUAGCUUCAACUAAUUCCUUCAUCUACAAGAGUUCUUAAUCCACUUCAUGGCUAACCAAAGAUACAUCAUCCAUAAUCUAUUGAUUUUUGUUUGAAGAUGUGGUUCUUGGAAACUCUAUCAAGUUACAUUUGUUACCCCUAGUGUGAUGCUCCUUCAUUAUACCUUUUUGAUUAUCAUUCUUCAGUUUGUCAUUUGAAUUAGACAAUGCUAAAGCUAGUUGUUGAUCUUUCUGUUGGGACUUACCUUGUUGAUAUUCUUGUUCAUUUUGUGGAGCAAAUUCAUAUUCCGCUUCUUCCUUAUUUUGAUAAGUUUCUACUGUGCUGAAUUCUUUUAUAUGAUGAUUGGCAAAUGCCUUGAGGAUUUAUUCUUUGGUGGAAGAGUGAUAUUACGCCUGAGUAGACUUUUGUUUCAUACUUUCAUUCAUAUGUUGUUAAUGUACGUUUUGCCGGCAUGCUGCAUCUUUUUUUUUCACCUCAG